rnacentral:piRNA from 1 species
CCCAGCUAUUUCCUCACUGCGAUGUUGUG